ACGUACACUCCUGCGGGAGGCAGCAGUGGGGAAUUUUGGACAAUGGGCGAAAGCCUGAUCCAGCCAUGCCGCGUGCAGGAUGAAGGCCUUCGGGUUGUAAACUGCUUUUGUACGGAACGAAACGGCCUUUUCUAAUAAAGAGGGCUAAUGACGGUACCGUAAGAAUAAGCACCGGCUAACUACGUGCCAGCAGCCGCGGUAAUACGUAGGGUGCAAGCGUUAAUCGGAAUUACUGGGCGUAAAGCGUGCGCAGGCGGUUAUGUAAGACAGUUGUGAAAUCCCCGGGCUCAACCUGGGAACUGCAUCUGUGACUGCAUAGCUAGAGUACGGUAGAGGGGGAUGGAAUUCCGCGUGUAGCAGUGAAAUGCGUAGAUAUGCGGAGGAACACCGAUGGCGAAGGCAAUCCCCUGGACCUGUACUGACGCUCAUGCACGAAAGCGUGGGGAGCAAACAGGAUUAGAUACCCGAGUAGUCCC
rnacentral:rRNA from 1 species